GAUUUCUGGUCUGACAUGCCUGGCCCGCCGGGGUUACCCGCGUGAGUGCCGGUGCGCGUCUACCAUCCUUCCAGAAAACGGCCUUACCCUUCACUGGGCCGAGGUCGCGAUCUGGAUCUUUUACUUUGAAAAAAUUAGAGUGUUUCAAGCAGGCAUGUUUGCUAUGAAUACAUUAGCAUGGAAUAAUAAUCUAGGACUUUCGGUUCUAUUUUGUUGGUGUUCUGGAGCUGAAGUAAUGAUUGAUAGGGAUAGUUGGGGGUGCUAGUAUUCAAUGGCCAGAGGUGAAAUUCUCGGAUUCCUUGAAGACUAACUUAUGCGAAAGCAUU
rnacentral:rRNA from 1 species